UGGAUACCAAACAAAACUUAAUUAGUGUAAACAAUAGCCGGCUUUAUUAAUUUUUGGCCAGCUUUUUCUAGGACAAGUGAGUUUUUCCACGUGGCCAGAUUUUUUUUUGUCAUAAUUAAUAUUGGAUUAUUCAUACAUAGUUGCCUCAAUUAAUUUUCACUAGGAACAAAUAUAGAGCUUAGGGAAAAUCACCAAAUGAUUAUAUUAUAUGCAAUAUAUGAUUUUAUUACCUAAUUUACAAUAUAAAUAGGAAGUAGGCAGUGUCUUAGAUAAACAUAACAAGGUUAGUGUACUAAAGAAAAAAAAAUGAAAGGUUCAUACAUUUGGCUUAUUUCUUUCGUGUUUCUAACGGUUUCCGUACAGUGUUACGGCGGGAGAAAAUACGACCCUCUUCGAGAACUGAUAAAAGCCCGAAGGGCGAAAAGGUCAUCAUCGGUUAAUUAUGUUUCCGAAGAUGCUACAUCGUCAGCGGAAUAUUCCCCUGUUUACGUACAGAAUCAAUAUGGAUUGAAGGAAGUUGACAAGAUUCUAAGUUUGCCGGGUCAACCCCAAGUCAACUUCUCUCAAUAUUCGGGAUAUGUCACCGUUGAUCCGAUUGCUGGAAGAGCAUUAUUUUAUUAUUUUACCGAAUCGGAAGAUUCUUCGACCAAGCCUUUGGUUCUCUGGUUAAACGGAGGGCCUGGUUGCUCGUCGCUCGGAGCUGGAGCGAUGACUGAAUUAGGGCCGUUUCGAGUGAAUCCCGAUGGAAAAACCCUAUGGCUUAAUAAAAAUGCUUGGAACAAUGAGGCGAAUGUGGUCUUUCUUGAAUCGCCAGCUGGAGUGGGAUUUUCGUAUUCGAACAGGUCAUCGGAUUAUAUUACAGGCGAUAAGCAAACAGCAGCAGAUGCUUACACUUUUGUAGUCAACUGGUUGGAAAGAUUUCCCGAGUACAAAACGAGAGACUUUUACAUAACCGGAGAGAGUUAUGCCGGUCAUUAUGUACCUCAGCUUGCCGAUUUAAUCCUCAAAAACAACAAAAUCACGAAUCAAACCGUCAUUAACUUGAAAGGAAUUGCUAUUGGAAAUGCGUUGAUCAACGACGAGGAUUGGUGGAACGGUCAAUAUGAUUAUUUAUGGACGCACGCUCUCAUAUCAGACGAAACUCACAACGGGAUUGUAAAGAAUUGCAAUUUUUCUUCUCCCGAUAUUUCGGAAGCAUGCGAUAACUACGCGGGCGAGGCGGACGAUGCCGUUGAGGAUAUCUAUUUUUACGACAUUUAUGCCCCCUUAUGCUCGUCUUCUUCAAAUGCUCCCUCGAUAUCGACAUUUGAUCCAUGCUCGGGUGAUUACGCCUAUACAUACUUAAACACACCAGAAGUGCAGAAGGCCCUACAUGCCCAUGUAAACGGAACUUGGGAAUCUUGCAAGUAAUACAACGAACUACGAAACUCUUUUAAUUUCUCGUUUUUUUUCUUCUCCUUCGAGGUGCAUGCGAAUUGGCAAGACUGGCAAACGACACUUUUACCUACCAUUGAAGAGCUGAUGGCUAGUGGUAUUCGUGUUUGGAUUUAUAGUGGAGAUACGGAUCGUGCGGUGCCAGUUACAACCACUAGUUAUUCGUUGACCAAAAUCGGUGCACCGAUAACGACUCCAUGGUACCCUUGGUACAGCCAAGGCGAGGUUGGAGGUUACGCGGUUGGAUAUCAAAAUUUAACAUUUGUGACGGUGAGAGGGUCCGGGCAUUUUGUUCCAAGUUACCAACCCGAACGAGCUCUUGUCUUGUUCACGUCGUUCUUAGCGGGAAAACUUCCGCCUACCGAAAACUAAUGUUGUUACUUGUUAAUUAACAAGAUAAUAACUGCCAUUAUUAUGCCUAUUGUCCCU